GGCAAGAUGGCCGAGCGGUCUAAGGCGCUGUGUUCAGGAAUUUAACAGAUUCCCGAAUUUCGCAGUCCGAAAGGGCGUGGGUUCGAAUCCCACUCUUGUCA